GAAGGAACAGUGAUUGGGAAAACCAAUCAACCAAGAAGCUAUCAGUUAUCCACUCCCAAGCAUAAUAUCAGACGAAACCGGCGCAAGCUCAACAUGCUGCCAAAACCUGACCCCGAAACACCAACCGAGUCAUCACCAGAGAGCACUCCAGAGCCUGAGGCUAAAACGACAACACCGGAAGUGCAAGCACCAGUUCCAGUAAACACUACCCAUAGUGGCCGGGUGGUUAAAACACCGGCUAGGUUGAAAGACUGAAUAUAAACACUGCAGUUCUGUUUGAUUGUUAUGAGGCAAUGUAUUUGAUAACAUUAAGCCUAAGUUACCAGUGUUAGUUAAAUUUUACAUUGACAUUGUCAAGGACAUUCUGUCUUACAUUAGAUAGACACUCAGAAAGGGAGAUGUAGUAUUGGGCUCCCUGUGUUAUUUCGUUAUAAGUAUUGCUUGGUUACCCAGCACCUGUGUUCGGUUCAAUAUGGCUUCGGUCUAUUAAAAAGUUCAGAGUUCUUAGAAAAAUCGUCUUGUUUCUCGGCAAUCCUAUACCGACAAACACUACAUGUUCGUGGAAGUUUGUUGAUCGAAGUGUUGCAAUUCCGUCGUUGCAUUUGCUAGCCAAGGUAAAACAAUAGUUUGAAAAAAUGUUUGCACAAGUGUAUUGGGUGGACGAAGCCUGUGAUUCAGUGUUGUCCAGAUGGAAGACAUAUGAGUCAAAGAAGCGGGGGAAGGGGUAGAAGUUGGCAUAGUUUGGCCGUGAGAAGGGCCGCGGAUUUGUAGAGUGGAAUACAAUGCUGAAAUAAAAAGUUUAUCAGCGUACGCAAAACGAUGUUCAACGGUUUGGGGAGCCAAGGAGAUUGACUGGAGCAAAACAGUGUGAACAAGCGCAAUAUAACGCCAAGCGCUCAAUCGCAACCAAAGCGCGAAACGAUAAAAGCGCUCAAUCUAAGGACGUUAUAUACUCUGUAUAUAGAAGAAUUGAUCGGCAAAAAGUGACAUUUAAAACCCUGAAUUUUUAAUGUGUGGAUGUGUAGAACGGGUUUAAUUUUCCUAAUUUUCUCUCCCUGCUUUAAUCAGUACUUUAUGCAAUUAGGGUCAUGGAAUGCAUGGAUUGCGUUAAACUCGAAUAAAAAUUGUUUUUAUA